UACGUAGGGUCCGAGCGUUGUCCGGAAUCAUUGGGCGUAAAGAGCGCGUAGGCGGCUAUUUAAGUCCUGCGUGAAAUCCUGCGGCUCAACCGCAGACGGUCGUGGGAAACUGGAUGGCUAGAGUGCGGGAGAGGAGAGUGGAAUUCCCGGUGUAGCGGUGAAAUGCGCAGAUAUCGGGAAGAACACCCGUGGCGAAGGCGGCUCUCUGGAACGCAACUGACGCUGAGACGCGAAAGCGUGGGGAGCAAACAGG
rnacentral:rRNA from 1 species